AAUUGCAGCUAAAAAAGUUGUGAACAUAAAAGUUGUAGAUAUCAUCAAGACAUACAACUUUUAUUUUGGUCAUUUUUUCAUCCGAUAAAGUGAUAAUAACAUUGUUGACAAAGUUUACAUCUCUCUUGUAGUUUGUAGAACCAGAUGAGAUAGAUGUAAAUUUUGUGAACAAUGUUUCUAUCACUUUGUCGGAUGAAGAAACGACCAAAAUAAAAGUUAUAGAUCUUGAUGAGUUAUACAACUUUGUUGUUGAUAACUUUUUCAAUUAAAAUC
rnacentral:pre_miRNA from 1 species